CUGGCAGCCCUUACACCUGAGCCGUUCAGCUAAUCGGGAGAGCUUCCCGCAGCAGUAACCAUCAAACUGUGGUUUAGAUGAAUUAACAUCCUCCUGCCACCCUUAUUCGGGAAGGCAAAGCAUUCCUUUUGCCGUCUCUUUGCUGCGCUGGAGGGGAGCACGUUUGGAGGGGUGCUUGUUGUUGUUGGGGGGUGUACUAAUGAUCUUCUGAUCAGCUAAAGCUCAUAAAUACAAGAAACAGUAUUUCUCCUUAAUAACACCGUGCCGUCUAUUAGGAAGACGCAGGGAGGGCCUGUUAGACCUUUGAUGUGCUGGGCGCUGCAUGCCGUGCAUUCUCUGCUUCCAAACUCGCAGGCACUGCCGGCUUCAUUGCAGCCUGCCUGCCUCUUUGUGUGGACAGCCAGAUAGAGUGAUGCUUGGCGCUGAUGAGCUAUAUCAGAAACACAUGCAAGCAAUUAAAGGUGCUGGCCAUCAAAAUACUGAGGAUAAUGUUGCUGUGUGGUUAAAAAACAACAACCAAAAAAGAAGCAAGCCAACUAACUGCUCAGUUCCAAGUUUCUUACCUUAAAACUUCCUCUAAAUCAUAAUGGAGAAAUGAACAUCGGUGAACCAACAUAAUUAGCAUGCCUCCUAAACAGAUGAUAUAGUUAUAUACUUGUUAGUAUUAGGAGAUCCUACAAAUUUCAUUUAUCAAGAUACAGCCCAGUAGGCAUUUUGCAGUGAAAAGGGCGCCUGUGAAUCCCCAGUACACCACUCAGAUCACCCCCUGAGGGGAAAAGCAACUUGCAUUCAAAUCAAACGUUUUCCUAUCAAAUGCUCUACUAAUGGCUUUCCUAUGAGACCCAAGCCUGUCACUCACCUACUACCUAUUUAGACAUGUUAAAACAGAAUUCCUUGUUUAUUUGUAUUUCAUUGAAGUGAGUCUGUUUUCUCCUAUUGAAUUUGUAUCCAAACCCCAGGUUGUCAAUACUACUUAGUUAGAGCGGCUGUUUGUUGUGUUUUUCUUCGCAUUUCAGCCAGGGGUAGGGAGGAAAAAAAAAAAAAACAAAACCACCAAAAAAAAAAACCA